AAUGAUUAAAAUUAGAGAUAUCCGCGGUGGGUGAGAUAAUAACUUUCAUUGGACUAAUUUCUGUUGGUGAAAGAGGCAAGCUUUCAAGCAACACAGAGC